rnacentral:tRNA from 1 species
GGUGCGGUACCCAAGCGGCUAAGGGAGCAGUCUGCAAAACUGUUAUUCGCCGGUUCAAAUCCGGCCCGCACCU